GACGAACGCUGGCGGCGUGCCUAAUACAUGCAAGUCGAGCGAAUCUCAGGGAGCUUGCUCCCUGAGAUUAGCGGCGGACGGGUGAGUAACACGUGGGUAACCUGCCUGUAAGACUGGGAUAACUUCGGGAAACCGGAGCUAAUACCGGAUACUUUCUUUUCUCGCAUGAGGGAAGAUGGAAAUAUGGUUCUGCUAUCACUUACAGAUGGACCCGCGGCGCAUUAGCUAGUUGGUGCGGUAACGGCUCACCAAGGCAACGAUGCGUAGCCGACCUGAGAGGGUGAUCGGCCACACUGGGACUGAGACACGGCCCAGACUCCUACGGGAGGCAGCAGUAGGGAAUCUUCCGCAAUGGACGAAAGUCUGACGGAGCAACGCCGCGUGAGCGAAGAAGGCCUUCGGGUCGUAAAGCUCUGUUGUUAGGGAAGAACAAGUACGAGAGUAACUGCUCGUACCUUGACGGUACCUAACCAGAAAGCCACGGCUAACUACGUGCCAGCCGCCGCCGUAACAC
rnacentral:rRNA from 1 species